rnacentral:rRNA from 1 species
CUGAGUACGGCGGAACACGUGAAAUUCCGUCGGAAUCCGGGAGGACCAUCUCCCAAGGCUAAAUACUCCCUAGUGACCGAUAGUGAACCAGUACCGUGAGGGAAAGGUGAAAAGCACCCCGGAAGGGGAGUGAAACAGUUCCUGAAACCGUGUGCCUACAAGUAGUUAGAGCCCGUUAAUGGGUGAUAGCGUGCCUUUUGUAGAAUGAACCGGCGAGUUACGAUUUGUUGCAAGGUUAAGCGGAAAAAGCGGAGCCGUAGCGAAAGCGAGUCUGAAUAGGGCGCAUAAGUAACAGGUCGUAGACCCGAAACCAGGUGAUCUACCCAUGUCCAGGAUGAAGGUAAGGUAAUACUUACUGGAGGUCCGAACCCACGCACGUUGAAAAGUGCGGGGAUGAGGUGUGGGUAGCGGAGAAAUUCCAAUCGAACUUGGAGAUAGCUGGUUCUCUCCGAAAUAGCUUUAGGGCUAGCCUCGAGGUAAAGAGUCAUGGAGGUAGAGCACUGUUUGGACUAGGGGCCCUUCUCGGGUUACCGAAUUCAGAUAAACUCCGAAUGCCAUGUACUUAUACUCGGGAGUCAGACUGCGAGUGAUAAGAUCCGUAGUCGAAAGGGAAACAGCCCAGACCACCAGUUAAGGUCCCCAAAUAUAUGUUAAGUGGAAAAGGAUGUGGGGUUGCUUAGACAACCAGGAUGUUGGCUUAGAAGCAGCCACCAUUGAAAGAGUGCGUAAUAGCUCACUGGUCGAGUGACCCCGCGCCGAAAAUGUACCGGGGCUAAACAUAUUACCGAAACUGUGGAUGAACCUCUUUAGAGGUUCGUGGUAGGAGAGCGUUCUAAGGGCGGUGAAGUCAGACCGGAAGGACUGGUGGAGCGCUUAGAAGUGAGAAUGCCGGUAUGAGUAGCGAAAGAAGGGUGAGAAUCCCUUCCACCGAAUAUCUAAGGUUUCCUGAGGAAGGCUCGUCCGCUCAGGGUUAGUCGGGACCUAAGCCGAGGCCGAUAGGCGUAGGCGAUGGACAACAGGUAGAGAUUCCUGUACCAGUGCUAAUUGUUUAACCGAUGGGGUGACACAGAAGGAUAGGGAAUCGCACGAAUGGAAAUGUGCGUCCAAGCAGUGAGUGUGAGAAGUAGGCAAAUCCGCUUCUCGCGAAGCAUGAGCUGUGAUGGGGAAGGAAAUUAAGUACGGAAGUUCCUGAUUUCACGCUGUCAAGAAAAGCCUCUAGGAAGAGUAGUACUGCCCGUACCGCAAACCGACACAGGUAGAUGAGGAGAGAAUCCUAAGGUGAGCGAGAGAACUCUCGUUAAGGAACUCGGCAAAAUGACCCCGUAACUUCGGGAGAAGGGGUGCUCUAUUAGGGUGCAAGCCCGAGAGAGCCGCAGUGAAUAGGCCCAGGCGACUGUUUAGCAAAAACACAGGUCUCUGCAAAACCGUAAGGUGACGUAUAGGGGCUGACGCCUGCCCGGUGCUGGAAGGUUAAGAGGAGUGCUUAGCUUCGGCGAAGGUACGAAUUGAAGCCCCAGUAAACGGCGGCCGUAACUAUAACGGUCCUAAGGUAGCGAAAUUCCUUGUCGGGUAAGUUCCGACCCGCACGAAAGGCGCAACGAUCUGGGCACUGUCUCAACGAGAGACUCGGUGAAAUUAUAGUACCUGUGAAGAUGCAGGUUACCCGCGACAGGACGGAAAGACCCCGUGGAGCUUUACUGCAACCUGAUAUGGAAUGUUUGUACCGCUUGUACAGGAUAGGUAGGAGCCGAAGAGACGUGUGCGCUAGCAUACGAGGAGGCAAUGGUGGGAUACUACCCUGGCUGUAUGACCAUUCUAACCCGCCACGCUUAGCGCGUGGGGAGACAGUGUCAGGUGGGCAGUUUGACUGGGGCGGUCGCCUCCUAAAGAGUAACGGAGGCGCCCAAAGGUUCCCUCAGAAUGGAUGGAAAUCAUUCGCAGAGUGUAAAGGCACAAGGGAGCUUGACUGCGAGACUGACAAGUCGAGCAGGGACGAAAGUCGGGCUUAGUGAUCCGGUGGUUCCGCAUGGAAGGGCCAUCGCUCAACGGAUAAAAGCUACCCCGGGGAUAACAGGCUUAUCUCCCCCAAGAGUCCACAUCGACGGGGAG